rnacentral:rRNA from 1 species
UUCUGGCUCAGGAUGAACGCUGGCGGCGUGCUUAACACAUGCAAGUCGAACGAAGCAAUUCGAUCAAAGCUCGGCAGCGAAGAGAAUUGACUUAGUGGCGGACGGGUGAGUAACGCGUGGGUAACCUGCCUCAAGCUGGGGGAUAACAGUUAGAAAUGACUGCUAAUACCGCAUAAGACCCCGGUACCGCAUGGUACAGAGGUAAAAGAUUUAUCGGCCUGAGAUGGACCCGCGUCUGAUUAGCUAGUUGGUGAGGUAACGGCCCACCAAGGCUGCGAUCAGUAGCCGACCUGAGAGGGUGAUCGGCCACAUUGGGACUGAGACACGGCCCAAACUCCUACGGGAGGCAGCAGUGGGGAAUAUUGCACAAUGGGGGAAACCCUGAUGCAAGCGACGCCGCGUGAGUGAAGAAGUAUUUCGGUAUGUAAAGCUCUUUAAGCAGGGAAGAUAAUGACGGUACCUGCAGAAUAAGCACCGGCUAAAUACGUGCCAGCCGCCGC